rnacentral:rRNA from 1 species
AUUGAACGCUGGCGGCAGGCUUAACACAUGCAAGUCGAGCGGUAACAGAGAGAAGCUUGCUUCUCUGCUGACGAGCGGCGGACGGGUGAGUAAUGCCUAUGAAUCUGCCUAGUAGUGGGGGAUAACUUGCCGAAAGGUAAGCUAAUACCGCAUACGUCCUACGGGAGAAAGGAGGGGACCUUCGGGCCUUUCGCUAUUAGAUGAGCCUAGGUCGGAUUAGUUAGUUGGUGAGGUAAUGGCUCACCAAGACCGCGAUCCGUAACUGGUCUGAGAGGAUGAGCAGUCACACUGGAACUGAGACACGGUCCAGACUCCUACGGGAGGCAGCAGUGGGGAAUAUUGGGCAAUGGGGGGAACCCUGAUCCAGCCAUGCCGCGUGUGUGAAGAAGGUCUUAGGAUUGUAAAGCACUUUAAGUUGGGAGGAAGAGCAGUUAACUAAUAUUUAACUGUUUUGACGUUACCGACAGAAUAAGCACCGGCUAACUUCGUGCCAGCCGCCGCGGUAA